CAUGUAUAUAGGACUAAUCCUGUAAGGGUAUUUUCACGGUUUUAUAAUGACCCUGGCCACUGAGGAUUAUCAUUAGUUAUACAUAACGGUACACUUGGUAAACAAAGGACUUUUUAAAGGUGUUUUCAAGGACUCCUAAUCUGGCUUAAUAUGUUGAAAAAUCCGUGAAAAUUUAUUUAACUGUAAUUUCAGGGGAAAAUGGCUCUUUAACGAAUUUGAUAUUUGGGGUGUUAUGAAUAUGAGGGAGGGCCAUCUAAAACCCAAUGGGGGUUUUGUAGCAAUGACUCUAAAGGUGGCUACCAACCAUAGAGUGGAAAUAUUUGUCAACUAAAUUUCCAAAGUAAACCAAGGGCGAUUUGAGCGAAUAAAUCAGAAGAAUUUGUGAAGAGGUUUAGAAAUUGGGAAACAUUGGCAAAAUAUUGAUGCAAAGCAGUUCUGACUCUACUAUUGGCAUUUACCAAAAGUUUCUUUUAGAAUAACUACAAACACAAGUGACACUGAAGGACUAACACAGACAAGGACACUGAACAUCGAUAACAAACUGUAGAUUUGUUUAGACUAAUCUGCCAAAAACAGCUGACUUUAUCAAAUUAUAAUUUGAUACUGAAGUAAGGGGCAGCUCUGGAGACAGCAUGUAUAGACCUCAAUAAAAAGAAACAGAAACAUUUGGAGACACGACGAUCGCCUUAAAUAUUGGCCAAAUGUAACUUGCCCAAGGACACAACAUGCAGACACAGGCAGAAUUAUUCAAAUCCCAGGCCAUGAGACAUUUCAGACCAUCUACCGCUACAUGUAUAGGGGUUCUGUGUAUGCAGACUUGUUACCUUGAAGUAUUCAAGACCCAGAGACACAGACACAAUGAGCAUCCCUCAUAAGCUGAUUAUCAGCCAAUAGGAUUCCAGAUCCUUCUCAUAUCCUCCUCUCCGGUCAUUUAAAUACCAUCAGUGAGUGCUGUAAGAGGAUGGCACACUGGGUGUUUGAAAACAGCUCCUCCGUGCCCCAAGGUAUUAACGGUCCAAGCUCCCCCCAAUCAAUACUUUCCUUUCAAGUAGGGAUAUUUGUACUGGAGCCCCAAUCAUUGUCCAUCUGGGAGCUUGCGAAACAAACUGCUCAUCAAAAAUUAAUUGCAAGUUAAACAAGCACCGCAACUCUGCGCAGGGGUGUGUUGGCAGAUGAUGGUGUUUCUUGAGAUGGGCAAAAUUUUUUGUUUAGAAUUUCAAUUUGAAGCCAUUUUGGAGUGUGAGGACUUCUUGCUGUAAGGCUUGAAAGGAUGACUUGUGGUUAUUCUCUACGUCUUAGAGGUUUCAUUGUGUGAAGAUGACCUGCUGACAAACAGCUACCGGUUGAAGCAGUUAAGAAGAAUAGGACGUCGCUCCCUUUGUCUGAUAAUGGUAUAACCCAGAAGGGCUCGCAGUUACUAUACCACUUCAAAAUUAAAAUACUUUGCUUUCUGUAACCGCCGCUCUGAAGAUUUUCUGAGGGUUUUUGGAAUAUUUUGCUGAUCUUGGAAGGAAAAUACUCUUUCUGGAGGGUAGAAUCCAGUUAAGAUGUGUCCUUGACAGUCCAAGCACUCUGGAGAGAGAUAUUUAACUGGAUUACUCUUUGUUUAAUUAUUUGAAAUUAAAAAGUGCUUCAUCUUCAAAGUGGCAAACUGAAGACUGAUUUUUCUGUGGAGACAGAGAGACAACACAGAAAGACAACAACAAAAAUGGCAACCGAAUCUCUCAACACAAGCUACGCCAGCACCUGCAACUGCAACCACACGGAUAUGAGAGUGCUGGUAGCUAACAACCACCAUCCAGUCUCCAACCACGCCAGCUUAAACCAAAUCAGCAUCGGCAACGUCAGCAACAGCACCAGCUCCUCGCAGAUGAUAAAGCGGCGCACCCGACUUGUCGAGAAGGACGGCACCUGCAACAUCCAGUAUGAGAACAUGUCUAAGAGCCGCUGGUGCAAGAUCAUCAAAGACAUAUUCACUAGUACUGUCGACAUGCCGUGGCGAUAUAACAUCCUCAUGGUUAUCGUGGGUUUCCUGGCGAGCUGGCUUCUGUUUGCUGUUCUCUAUUAUGGACUCGCCAUCGCCCGAGGUGACUUUGACCAUCUGGAUGACCCAGAGUGGAAGCCUUGCUUUAGAAACUUUCAAAACUUUAAGUCGGCACUGUUGUACAGCAUCGAGGCACAGACCACUAUCGGGUUUGGAUUUAGAAGCCCGACCGAACAAUGCGGGGAAGUACUCUUCUUCCUGAUUGUGCACACUCUCUGGGCAAACUUUAUUGAGGCAUUUAUUCUAGGAAGCUUCAUUGCCAAAGUCUCCAGACCCAAAGCCAGGGCCAAGACACUCCAAUUCAGCCACUAUGCCUGCAUGACGAAACUCGACGGUAAAAUGUGCUUCACCUUCCGAGUUGGGGACCUGCGGCAAAAAUCCCACAUUGUUGAGGGUCACAUGAGACUUCAGAUGGUGCGUCAUUAUGUGACGAAAGAGGGUAAUGUGAUCCCCUUCAAAUUCCUGGACUUAAAUAUCGGCCAUGAAUUUGGUGCAGAUCGCCUCUUCCUGGUGUGGCCACUUCAGAUUGUCCAUGUCGUUGAUGAAAAAAGUCCUCUGUACAGCAUCUCCCGGGAUCAUCUUCGGCACAUGGAUUUUGAAAUCAUCGCCAUCUUGGAAGGCAUCGUGGAAGCCACGGGCACAACAACCCAGGCUAGAACCUCUUAUCUCCCGGACGAAAUCAUGUGGGGCUUCCAGUUUGAGAACAUGGUGGAGGUGAGAGACGACUGUCACUUUGUGGAUAUGAAGCGGUUCCACAUGAUGAGGGAAUCGGAGGACUUCUCGAGAUGUAGCGCCAAGGAGGUUGAUGAGAUGAGAGAGGCAGAGGAUAGGGAGGUGGACAGAGAUAGCGUCUGGACAUCAAGGAGGAACAGCGGAAUAAUCAGGAGGUCCUCGCCCAUCCUUAGGGACGCGGAAAAUGUGGAGUCUCGAAUCUGAUGAUGAAGCAGGAUAGUCACGUUGCCUAAUUUGGAAAAGCCCAGGUGUAAUGCUCAAUCUGAUUGGACAGGCCACAACAGCACUGCCAUAGUCAGGAACGAACCACUGUGUUUGGAUCCUGGGCUAUAAACUAAGCCUAACGUCAAGUGACUGCUUUCCAGGAACUUUUCAUCAAAUCCAGCACCAAGGAACCAUGAAGAAAGACUAUGACAUCACUGGAGAGAACAAGAAGAACUUUUUUUUUUGAAAAACUGCCUUAGUUGUAAAAACUGCCAUGAAGGACAAAAAAUGUAAAAAGUAUCGCUGUUUAUUAAAGCCAAAUAAUUGUAAUUGUAAAUACAUGUACUAUUUAUAAAAGGAAGGUUGUACGUUGAAACUUACAGCGCCUUACACAUGUGCAGCUGUAGCAUAAGGAUGUAAACUUUAUAAUUAAUUGUAAUGUAGUUUUAUCUGAGUGUUUUCCCCAUGUCUCACUGAAAUACUAAAAUGUUUUUGGGACGGGCAAAAUAUGACUUUAUUUUGCAUUGACUCGGAGCAAGAAAACACUGUGGGUGGUGGUUGCUGUGUGUGUCUAGAUAUAGAUUAGAUCUUUCCAGUUUGAACUCAGUUUGUUAUACACCAUUAUGAGAACUAUUUCAAUGUUUCAAUUUCAUGUUUCCUCAGAAAUCUUUAAUGACACGUACGUCACUUAACUCAAAAUGCACGAUAGAGCUGAGAAAAAGCAUGUUUU